rnacentral:rRNA from 1 species
UACGGAGGGUGCAAGCGUUGUUCGGAUUUACUGGGCGUAAAGCGCGCGCAGGUGGGUGUGCAAGUCGGAAGUGAAAUCCCAGGGCUCAACCCUGGGGCUGCUCCCGAAACGGCACGCCUAGGGACUGGUAGAGGCUGGUAGAAUUCCCGGUGUAGCGGUGGAAUGCGUAGAGAUCGGGAAUAAUACCUGUGGCGAAGGCGGCCAGCUGGGCCAGAUCCGACACUGAGGCGCGAAAGCGUGGGGAGCAAACAGG